AGAAACCAUGUCUAAUGGGCAAAAAUUUCUUCCUCAAAAUUAAUACUUCAACCGAUAAGCAUGACUCUGUAAAUGGGAAAAUCUUGUAUGUAUAUACAGGUAAAAGAGACAGUAAUUCUUUGAUGAAAUAGAUUUCUGCCAAGUACAUUUCUACGUAUCUCGAGUUGCGAUAAAGAUUCUCAUUAACAAUGAUGAUAAAUAUUACAGAAAAAAUGAUGAAAGAAAGGAUUAAAUUUGAAAUUUUAACAUAGAAAAGCCUUGAUGCUAUUUUUGAUAAUAAUCUAUUAAUUAUUUAAGAUAGAAUUUACCAUACUGAUAGAGAUGAGAACUUGUUGCUUUUCAAUUUGCUCACGUGAGAAAUAAGAAUUCUAGGUUUGUUUGUUAAAUAUUGAAAUAGAUAAGCAUGAUAAUGAAUGUGUGCAAUUUUAAUCAAAUAAAGUCUAAUCGCUAUACGAUUAUGCAAUAAGUCAAUAAGGCGCGAUGAACGAGCUUAUAGAAAUUUACGAAGUAAAAUGUACAAUUGGACACGUUCCAGAAAACGUGAAAGCAGGAAAUCAUAUAUCAAUAAAAGUGAAAAAACUAUUAUGGAACAAUAGAAUUUCCUCUAAAGGAAAGAAGAUUAUUACAAUCUAUCAAUACUAAUAACAAAAUUCUAAUAAUUUCCACAAUCUAAGUUCCUUAACCUUUGAAGAAAAAGAAUAUUUGCAAAACAAGAAAAAAAUUUUUCCUCGCUUCAUGGAAAUCAUUUUUCAAAGGAACGAUUUUAUGCACUGAAGAAAAUAUCUGUCACUAGCAACGACCUUAUCAGUCAACUGCUUAUCAUCGACCUCACGUAGUUGAAGACAGGUUUAUGACUUGACUGCUGGAAUCGCGAACAAGUGUAUCUCCGUUACCUCAAACGGUUCCUCUUUUCUUAAUACCUCUUUUUGACGUAGACACUUUCUUGUUUUGAGAAAACUAAGACAAAGCAGAAUAUUUGCAAAAUAUAUGCGAAAAGAGACACGAUUUUCCGAACGUGAUGUAACUAUAUAUUGUCUUGUAAUCGCGAAAGAAGAUUCGAGACACGUGUGAAGAGAACAAACAGCAUUGAUUCAACUUCAGAGAAAUUUCUUUAACGUCGACACGAUGUCGAAUUGACAGCUGAUGAAUUAUUCCUUCAGAUUCUUUUGAGAGUUCUAGAAAACAUUUUUUGUUACAAAAUGACUUGAAAAUGAAUGAUCUUUUAAUCUAAAAAACGAAAAUUUUUGAAAGAAAGUUUAUUUAUUUUGAUAUAUAAUAAUAUUUAAGAUACAAAAUUUAUAAACUAUGCUUCAUGAUUAUGUUUAAUUAUGAGUGAAAGGAUUAAGGAAAUCUUUUAUGUCUUAAUAGAAACUUUACGUUAAACCAUCAUAUCUAAACAAAUGGAUAACUUAGUAACACCUUCGCCAGACAGAUUUCUCGUCAAAUAAUAAUGAUAUCUUUUGAAACAACAACUUUCAUCAACGACAACUUUCACAUCGACAAAUAUAGAAUUCCAUUUCAUAGGAUCGAAUUCAGUUCGAAUUUUGAUACGAAGCCUAUCAAAACCUGAAUAGAUUUGUGAUAAAACGAUUUAUCUUGUUAUAAAAGUAUAUCUAAAAUCGAGAGAAAUAUCGUUUCUCGAAAACAGCAAUAUCAUUAGAUCCUAAACGCUCGUUAACCUAGCUAUCGAAACCGAUUUUAACGCUUCUGAAAUAAAUGAUUAUGCAUGCAAAUCGCACGAUCCUGCGAUUACCACUCGUUACGCCGAGUUGUUCCAUCGGGAAUGACACGAUAUCGGCGGUACAAUCACGGCCAAAUUGCCUUUGAACGAUAAUGCUCGGAGAAAUGACACCGAUCUCGGUGUAUUCGUGAAAAAAAGUAACGAUUUGCGAAGAUCAAGGUAUCCAAAGGCCAAAACGAAAUUUGGCUCGAUCCUUGGUUAAUUCUGGAUAGUGAUGGGCACAAGUACAUUGCAAGUAAUAUGGUCUUUCAUGAGUAAUGAUAAAAAUGAAUCUUUUUUAUUUGAAAAUCAAAUUGGAUAACCUCUUAUGAGUAAAUAGUAAUUGAAUGAAAUGAAUAAAAUAAAUGAAAUUAAUUUUUUAUAUUGAAAAUGAAA